UGAGUGUAAGAUCUUACGCUAUUAGGUGGAUGACUUGGUUCUAUUAGCUGAAGAAGGGUAUGACAAGCUAUAGUAUGCUCUGGCGAGCCGCAUGUAGGCUUUGAACCAGAGAUCCCUGAAUGUGACUUCAUAGCUUCGGCUGAUCCGAAAGGAUAGGGAACACAGGAAAUUGAAACGUCUUAGUACCUGUAGGAAAAGAAACCAAUUGGGAUGCUGUGAGUAAGAGCGACUGAAAGCAGCAUAAGGCAAACUGAAUCUGUUAUGGAAACAUGAUAGAGAUGUGGUGUGGCUGCUCUUUACCGUAACUAGGGAACUCGAAGUCCUCUGGAAAGAGGCACUACAAAGUGUGAUAGUCACGUAGAGAUAACUUAGUCGGUUUUGAACAGUUCAGGAGUACUGUUUACUGGAUACUAAACAGGAAUAUAGGAGGCAUCAACUUCUAACUUUAAAUACUAAUAGAAUCCGAUAGUGCACGAGUACCGUGAGGGAAAGUUGAAAAGAACCCUUAACAGGGAGUCAAAAGAUCCUUAAACCUAAUAGUUAUAGUGGGGUAGGGCUCUUCGGAGUUCUGCCGUGCGUUUCGAAUAACGUACCAGGGAGUGUAUCUAAGUAGCGAGGAUAACUAAAAGGUAUCCAAAGGGAAACCAAUAACUCGCAGCUUGCAAGGAGUGAGGUAUGAAAGUGCCUUUAGUUACUUGGGUACGACCCGAAGCUGAGCGAUCUAACCCUGGAUAAGGUGAAGCAAGGGUAAAACCUUGUGAAGGCCUGAAGAGGUUCUACGGGCAAGUGUUCUUCUAAUCUAGGGUUAGGGGUAAAAAGCCAAUCGAGCUCAGCAAUAGCUGGUUCCUACUGAAGUUGGCCGUAGUCAAGUGUUAGGUAAGAUGACUAAAAUGGUAGAGCUACGGAUUUCGGAUUUAGGUCUCGAAAGGGAUCGGUCCUUCGUCCAACUCCAAAUGUUUUAGUAUCAAAGAUCCUAAUAAACGGGGACGCGGGGUAAGCUUGCGUUCCGAGAGGGGAACAACCCAGACUAUAGUUAAGGUCCCAAAGUGUCAGCUAAGUGUUAAAGGGUAAAGGGCAUCUAUGGCCUAAGACAGCGAGGAGGUUGGCUCAGAAGCAGCCAUCCUUUAAAAAGUGCGUAACAGCUUACUUGUCAAGGUUGUAGGUCCCUAAGAUCGACGGGGCUAAGCUGAUCACCGAUACUAUAGACUAGCCAAAAGCUAAGUGGUAAGUAGGCGUUCAAUAAGAUCAAAAGCAUUUUUGCAAGAAAAUGUGAAUCUUAUUGAAAUGAAAAUCCUGGUGGUAGUAAGAUCUUAGCAGAGUGAGAACCUCUGUCACUGUAAGGGCAAGGGCUCCUUGACAAUGUCAAUCAGUCAAGGGAAAGUUGGUCCUAACUAAGUUCAUAAGUUGAACUGUGGAAAGGGAAAAAGGUUAAUAUUCCUUUACUGCUUAAGUAUGUGUGGUGACACAAGUUUGGUUUCUGACUCUUCGGAAUAGAUUGAUAUGGAUCAUCGUCCAUAUUAACAAGGAUAAACUAGAGGAGUAUCAUAAUGAUGAGAAUCUAGUUAAACCUUGGAAUAGCAGAGUUUUGCUUUGUUCAGUUGAUUUCUGGAGAUCCUAAAAAGGAAACCAAAAAAAAUCUUAAGUAACUAUACCCAGAACCAGCACAGGUGCCCCUAGGUUAGAAGCCUAAAGUGUGAUGGAGAUAAUCUAUUUAAGGGAAUUCGGCAAAUUGGUCCCGUGCCUUCGGUAUAAGGGAUCCCUGCGUCUGUGUUUGUAUAGAUGCGGAUGCAGGGCUCAGUGACUAAGGUGGUCCGACUGUUUAACAAAAACUUAACUGACUGCAAGCCUGUAAAGGUGUGUAUAGUCGGUGACGUCUGCCCAGUGCCAGUACUUUAAACUUGGUUCCAACCGAGCUAAGAGCUGGUAAACGGCGGGGGUAACUAUAACUCUCUUAAGGUAGCGAAAUGCCUUGCCGUUUGAAUGACGGCCUGCAUGAGUGGCGUAACGAGAUCACCACUGUCCCUAGAUAGACUCCUCUGAACACUCUUUACUGGUGCAAAGGCCAGUGAUUUCCAGUGGGAAGUGAAGACCCCGUGAAACUUUACUGUAGCUUGUUACUGCGACGUGAGUUUUAUUGUACAGCGUAAGUAGGAGUUGUUAGGUUUUGGACGCAAGUUCAGAAAUAGACGACAAUGUAACACUACUCUUUAGAACUUACGUUGCUAACUUGGGAAACCAAAGACAAUAAUAGGUAGACAGUUUGGCUGGGGUGGCACCCCGCUGAAAUGGUAUCAGUGGGGCCCAACGGUUGACUCAAUCCGGUCAGAAAUCGGAUGUAGAAUGCAAGGGUAAAAGUCAGCCUGAUUGGUUUUCGAAUAAGAAGAAAAUCAAAAACGAAAGUUUGGCCUAGCGAACCUCAAUGUCCUCCUUGAUGGGGGCUUGAGAUGACCGAAAAGUUACUCCGGGGAUAACAGAGUUGUCGCGCCCGAGAGUUCGAUUUGAAUGUUGGUGCUGCGAUAAUAGCUGGGAAAAUGUUUUCAUUUCCUAAAGCUUUAGCAAUAGCUCUAACGUUCAGGAAUAGAUCGACGGCGCGGUUUGCUACAUCGAUGUCGGCUCAUCCUAUCCUGGUUGUGCAGAAUGUUUCAAAGAAUGAGAAAGACUCAGAAAUCUUCGAUUUCUGUAGGCAGCCAAGGGUGGGGGUGUUCACCCAUUAAAAGGGUUCGUGAGCUGGGUUCAGAACGCUGUGAGGCAGUUUGUUUAAUAUCUACUGGAAAUGUCUGAUGUCUGAAAGGAAGGAUCCUUUAGUACGAGAGGAACGAGGGUUCGAGGCCUCUGGUUUACCGGAUAUCUGAUAAGGUAAAACCGGGCAGCUACGCCUUAAAGGAUAAGUGCUGAAAGCAUCUAAGCACGAAACCUUUCUUGAAAAGAGACAUCUUAGAACACGAAUAGAAGAUUCGUUUGAUGGGAUCGGUGUGUAAGUAUGAAGCUUCGGCGACAUAUUCAGCAUGCGAUUUCCAACAGUUCAUACCUUACACCAA
rnacentral:rRNA from 1 species